rnacentral:rRNA from 1 species
AGCGAACGCUGGCGGCGUGCUUAACACAUGCAAGUCGAGUGCGCAGUUCCGCUGUAGCAAUACAGUGGGAUGGGCGCACGGCGCACGGGUGAGUAUCACGUGAACAACCUGCCCUUCGGACGGGGAAUAACCCGCGAAAGCGGGGCUAAUACCGCGUACGAUUCCGGGGACUUCGGUUCCUGGUCUGAUAGCUCGCAAGGGUGACGGAGGAGGGGUUCGCGGCCGAUUAGCUAGUUGGCGGGGUAACGGCCCACCAAGGCAAUGAUCGGUAGCCGGUCGU